ensembl:misc_RNA Metazoa_SRP Metazoan signal recognition particle RNA
GCCAUGUGUGGUGGCGCACACCUGUAAUCCCAGUUACUCGGGAGGCUGAGUCUGGAGGAUCACUUGAACCCAGGAGGUGGUGGUUGCAGUGAGCCAAGAUCCUGCCACUGUACUCCAGCCUGGGUGACAGAGUGAGACUCUGUCUCAU